AUGCACACCAUCAAAAUCUUGGGCAAGGUUAAUAUUCUCAUCUUCUCCAUCAUGAAUUUCAUCUUCUUCAUCAUAACCAUCUCCAUCCUCAUCAUAUUCUUCUUGUUCCUGCAACUGCUGACCAUUCUGAAUAGUCCAUUCUUCAUCAUCACCAGUAGAGACGACACUUGAGCCACUCAUCAUAUUCUCUUUCUCAGCUUCUAUGGGUAAGGUUGCAGACUCAUUCACUUGCUCCAAUAAGGCAACAUCUUUACCUUCACUACCUGAUAAUGCCAGAGAAUCUCCAGUUUCAUCCAAGUCAUCAUGAGAUAGAUGAACUGG
rnacentral:misc_RNA from 1 species